GAUGAACGCUGGCGGCGUGCUUAACACAUGCAAGUCGAACGGUGAAGGCGGAGCUUGCUCUGCUGGAUCAGUGGCGAACGGGUGAGUAACACGUGAGAAAUCUGCCCCUGACUCUGGGAUAAGCGCUGGAAACGGCGUCUAAUACUGGAUACGAGCUGCGAAGGCAUCUUCAGCAGCUGGAAAGAACUUCGGUCAGGGAUGAGCUCGCGGCCUAUCAGCUUGUUGGUGAGGUAACGGCUCACCAAGGCGUCGACGGGUAGCCGGCCUGAGAGGGUGACCGGCCACACUGGGACUGAGACACGGCCCAGACUCCUACGGGAGGCAGCAGUGGGGAAUAUUGCACAAUGGGCGAAAGCCUGAUGCAGCAACGCCGCGUGAGGGACGACGGCCUUCGGGUUGUAAACCUCUUUUAGCAGGGAAGAAGCGAAAGUGACGGUACCUGCAGAAAAAGCGCCGGCUAACUACGUG
rnacentral:rRNA from 1 species